GAUGAACGCUAGGGGCAGGCCUAACACAUGCAAGUCGAGGGGUAACAGAGAAGCUUGCUUCUGCUGACGACCGGCGCACGGGUGCGUAACGCGUAUGCAACCUACCUCAUACAGGAGAAUAGCCCUUGGAAACGAGGAUUAAUACUCCAUGGUAUCAUUCUUUCGCAUGUUAGAAUGAUUAAAGAAUUUCGGUAUGAGAUGGGCAUGCGUCCCAUUAGCUUGUUGGUGAGGUAACGGCUCACCAAGGCAACGAUGGGUAGGGGGCCUGAGAGGGUGGUCCCCCACACUGGUACUGAGACACGGACCAGACUCCUACGGGAGGCAGCAGUGAGGAAUAUUGGUCAAUGGAGGAAACUCUGAACCAGCCAUGCCGCGUGAAGGAUGACGGCCCUAUGGGUUGUAAACUUCUUUUAUAUGGGAAGAAACUUAUCUACGUGUAGAUAACUGACGGUACCAUACGAAUAAGGAUCGGCUAACUCCGUG
rnacentral:rRNA from 1 species